rnacentral:rRNA from 1 species
AUGGAGCAGCUGCUGGAGAGCUUUCCGCAGCCCGCGGUGUACGACGCCCUAUCCCUCCUGGAGCAGGUCAAAGCAUGCUUCGCGCCCGAUCCGGACGUCACCGCGGAGUUCCUCGACCUCUUCGCGCGCUUCAGCAGGCGCGAGAUCGUCGACAUCCCCGCCGUCGUGGCCAGGGCGUACGCGCUCCUCCAGGGCCAUCCCGAUCUCAUCCAGCGUUUCGACACCUACAACCCCUUUCUCCGCCGUCCUGCUCAGCACGAAGCCGAGCCCGUCCGCGAUGAUCCGCCCAAGCGGCCUAAGAGGGAGCGCCGCCACCCGGCGGCCGCCUCCGUCGACGCCGACUGUGCCGGGGCCAUGCGGUUCCUCGAGCGGGUGAAGCUGGCGGACGCCGGGCUCUACGACAGGGUCCUCGCGCUGCUCUUCCACGUGAGGGCGGAGGUCAAGCUCGACGCGAAUCAAAUCUACGACCAGGCCCGGAAGAUUUUCGGGUCGGCGCACGGCCAUCUCCUCCGCGGUUUCACGGAGUACCUUCCGACGGGGCGUGACUUUCUGAGGCGUCGCGCGCCCAAGAAGGAGCCGCCGGAAGAGCACCGUGCUCCUGCGCCCAAGCGCAAGGCCCCCGCUGCCGGAACGGCCACGAUCCGAGUCGACGCCGCGUGCAAGAAGAAACCCCGCGUCGACGAACGGAAGACGACCAACCAACGCGCCUCCUCGGCCGUCGAUGCCCCCAAGAGCGGCGACAAAUUCUCCAAGUUUAGGGAGGCGUGGGAGUUCGAGACCACGUACACCAAGCUGGUUGUCACCAUAAGACGCACCAAGAAAGCACUAGAAGAACUCAGGCCAAAGCCAAAGAAGAAAUCACGGGAAGAAGCCGAGCCGGCGAAGGAACCGCCGGAGGAAGUCAAGCCGUCGCCGGGCCACCACGUGCGGGCCGCGUACGUUCGAGGAACUCUACCCCAGCCGCGAGUGCCGGGAGGUUCUCCAGGAGAUGUACGGCGACAUGUUGGCGCCGAUGCGGGAGGCGCUCGAGGACGGCGCGCGCACAGAGCUGGCUCUGAAGACGAUCACGCGCAGGCUGAAGAAGCUGGAGGAGGUGGCCGUGAAGAUCGCGAGGGAGCGGCGGGAUCCCGCCCGCGUUGA